ACAAAUUCCUUUCAAAAUAAACCUGUAUAGGAGAAUUCGAACACAAGGAAAGACUAAGCGCAUGAGCUUUACUUGUUAGGGUCACAUAAUUAACUGUAAUCCGGACCUCUAAAAUACUAAGAAAUACUACAAUGCUUCCUAAAAAACAUAAUAAUUCUUCAUCAAUACAAUACACAAUACACAAUACUCCUUCAUCAACUGAUAAUCACAAUGUGCAACCCUGCACUCUUAAAAGUUUGCUCAAAACACAAUAAUUUUCAUCCAACACCAGGAAUAACACACUUCACUCCAACCAAUCUGGCUUCACAGAAUUUCUAUAAUCACAGACUUUCUCUGUCCAAAACACACACAACUCUCAAUAAACAAAAAUCAUAAUCUUCCAUCCAUAAUCAAUCUUCUAAUAACUUCUCAUAUAAUUCAAUCACAUAAUACUCCAAUUACAUAAUCAAUAACUCAUAAAUCAAUCUCUGAUUUAUUCCACAGACUCACUUCACAGUAUUCAAAAACUAUCCAUUACUCUUCA
rnacentral:lncRNA from 1 species